GCAUUAGUGGUGUAAUGGUAACAUACCGACUUCCCAUGAGGAAAUAGUCGGUGCCUCGGGUUCGAUUCCCGGCUAAUGCA